AGCGAACGUUAGCGGCGGGCCUAACACAUGCAAGUCGAACGCGAAAGGUCUUCGGACUGAGUAGAGUGGCGCACGGGUGAGUAACACGUAGGUAAUCUACCCUUUGGCGGGGGAUAACGUUCCGAAAGGAGCGCUAAUACCGCAUAAAGACCCACGGAGUCUCCGGACGCUGUGGGAAAAGGUGGCCUCUUCUUGAAAGCUACCACCGAAGGAUGAGCCUGCGUCCCAUCAGCUAGUUGGUAAGGUAAUGGCUUACCAAGGCGAAGACGGGUAGCUGGUUUGAGAGAAUGAUCAGCCACACUGGCACUGGAACACGGGCCAGACUCCUACGGGAGGCAGCAGUGAGGAAUAUUGGGCAAUGGGCAAAAGCCUGACCCAGCCACGCCGCGUGAGUGAUGAAGGCCCUCGGGUCGUAAAGCUCUGUGGAGAGGGACGAAAACCCUGGUUUCAAAUAGGCUCCAGGCUUGACGGUACCUCUUUAGCAAGCACCGGCUAACUCUGUGCCAG
rnacentral:rRNA from 1 species